CCAACACUGGGACUGAGACACUGCCCAGACUCCUNCGGGAGGCUGCAGUCGAGAAUCAUUCGCAAUGGGCGCAAGCCUGACGAUGCGACGCCGUGUGAGCGAUGAAGGCCUUCGGGUUGUAAAGCUCUUUCGCAGGGGAGCAAGUUAGAUGGGUGAAUAAUCCAUCGAGUUGAGUGUACCUUGUAAAGAAGCACCGGCUAACUC
rnacentral:rRNA from 1 species